rnacentral:rRNA from 1 species
GACGAACGCUGGCGGCGUGCUUAACACAUGCAAGUCGAACGGAAAGGCCCUGCUUUUGUGGGGUGCUCGAGUGGCGAACGGGUGAGUAACACGUGAGUAACCUGCCCUUGACUUUGGGAUAACUUCAGGAAGCUGGGGCUAAUACCGGAUAGGAGCUCCGGCUGCAUGGUGGGGGUUGGAAAGUUUCGGCGGUUGGGGAUGGACUCGCGGCUUAUCAGCUUGUUGGUGGGGUAGUGGCUUACCAAGGCUUUGACGGGUAGCCGGCCUGAGAGGGUGACCGGCCACAGUGGGACUGAGGUACGGCCCAGACUCCUACGGGAGGCAGCAGUGGGGAAUAUUGCACAAUGGGCGGAAGCCUGAUGCAGCAACGCCGCGUGCGGGAUGACGGCCUUCGGGUUGUAAACCGCUUUCGCCUGUGACGAAGCGUGAGUGACGGUAAUGGGUAAAGAAGCACCGGCUAACUACGUG